AAUUUCAGGCCAACAAUCUGAGUUUGGAGAAAGUUAUGCAGGAUAGCAAAAUGGAUGAAACUCAGAAAGCUGCCUUCACUGUUAUUUUCAAGAGCAUGUGUCAACCUCUUGCGUUCUACGUUGACUCGCUGUACUGGGCCAUGAAGGGACUAGGUACCGACGAUGACAAACUCAUUCGCAUCGUCGUAGGCAGAUCAGAGAUCGACCUGGCUUCCAUCAAGACCAUGUUCAA